UGAGGAACAUGACUUUCGGCGGGGGAUAGCCGGCCCAACGGCCGGGUAAUACCGCGUACGACCUUUUGGGGACAUCCCCGAUUGGUGAAAGCAGCAAUGCGCCGAAAGAGUGCCUCGCGGCCUAUCAGCUAGUUGGUGGGGUAAUGGCUCACCAAGGCGACGACGGGUAGCUGGUCUGAGAGGAUGGCCAGCCACAUUGGGACUGAGACACGGCCCAGGCUCCGUACGGGAGCAG
rnacentral:rRNA from 1 species